GGAGGGAAAGUAGCGGAGAAGACAUUGUUAAAUCUGAUCGAGUUAUUGAUGAACCAACUACUUAAAUUGGAUGGAAUUACCGCGGAUGGAGAUGUAAAACUACAGAGAAAAAUGCAGGUGAAAAGGGUUUAGAAGUACGUGGAAACGCUUGAUGUGUUAAAGAUUAAGAACUCAACCGCAGGGACCAAUGAGAAUGGGGAUGCGAAACAAGUCCAGGAGCCGCCGGCUUCACAGCGCCAAGAGCAUAUAAUUUCAAACGGACAUAUGAAUGCCGCCUCACCAAAUCAACAUGACCUGUUACGAAAAAAAAGAAUAUAGAGAUGGAGAAUCAGAUGUGUUUUUUUUUUUUUUUUUGCUGCUGACCUGUUGUUAAUUAGAAUUGGAUUAAAAUUAAAAUUCAAUCUCUUUGAUGAAUGAGAUGCUUAGUUCAGAUUUUAAUGACUCUAUUACGCUGUAAUGUUAUAUAGAAUCUGUUUGCUGCUGUUA
rnacentral:lncRNA from 1 species